rnacentral:rRNA from 1 species
CCUAAGGUAGCGAAAUUCCUUGUCGGGUAAGUUCCGACCUGCACGAAUGGCGUAAUGAUGGCCAGGCUGUCUCCACCCGAGACUCAGUGAAAUUGAACUCGCUGUGAAGAUGCAGUGUACCCGCGGCAAGACGGAAAGACCCCGUGAACCUUUACUAUAGCUUGACACUGAACAUUGAGCCUUGAUGUGUAGGAUAGGUGGGAGGCUUUGAAGCGUGGACGCCAGUCUGCGUGGAGCCAACCUUGAAAUACC